CAGCUCUCAUCCAGAAGGUUCUAUUAUUAUCAGAAAUCCAGACAUCGAUGCCUCCUGGUAUACAGGCAGAGGGAUCAGGCCAGUGGGGAGAUUUGGUCGAAAAGCUUGUUCACAUUGGAUUUGUUGCACUCUGGUGGGCGAAUGGGUACAACGCACGCCACGUAACCACAAUGUCUGUGGUUUCAAUCCAGCCAUAGAUAUUUGUCAUGUCCCUUCUCUCUCUCCUCCAUGUUUCCUGUCCGCCUCUUCACUGAUAACUGUCCAAUAAAGGCAAAAAAUGUCCAAAAAAAAAAAAAAAAAGGAUUAAGACUUAUUUCGGAGUUGCAUGUGUGAAUAUUUUUGUUGUUUUUCUUCAAUAAAAUGUCAUGGUCAGUUUUAACAUUACAAUCAGAGGGAUACGAAAAUACUUAUAUUGCUACCUUUAAAACAAGAUCCAUGAAAAUUUGUCAACUUCAAG